rnacentral:SRP_RNA from 1 species
ACCAGGCGUGGUGGCGUGUGCCUGUAGUCCCAGCUACUCGGGAGGCUGAGGUGGGAGGAUCGCUUGAGUCCAGGAGUUCUGGGCUGUAGCGCUAUGCCAAUUGGGUGUCCGCACUAAGUUUGGCAUCAACAUGGUGACCUCCUGGGAGCCAGGGACCACCAGGUUGCCUAAGGAGGGGUGAACCGGCCCAGGUCGGAAACGGAGCAGGUCAAAACUCCCGUGCUGAUCAGUAGUGGGAUCGAGCCUGUGUAUAGCCACUGCACUUCAGCCUGGGCAACAUAGCAAGACCCUGUCUCU